GGCCGACGACACAUUAUGACUUGAAGAAGACCUUGAGAUCCUUCACUCCGAGCUCUUUAGCAAGGCGAAACCUAACUAUCAGGGCCUCAUACUUGACUUUAUUAUUAAAAGCUUUGAAGCCAUAUCAGAGAGCGUAUUUUGUUAUGACUCCUUUUGGGCUGGCUAAGAUGAGUACGACUCCACAUCCUUAUAAAUUUGAGGUUUCGUCGAUAUUAAGAAUCCAUUA
rnacentral:lncRNA from 1 species